rnacentral:piRNA from 1 species
UACAAGAUGGUGUUCUUAGUGAAGGGUUUGU